UCUCCGUUGGGUGAACAGCGGAGGGAUCAUU
rnacentral:rRNA from 1 species